CCUACGUGGCGCUGCAGUAGGGAAUCUUUCACAAUGGGCGAAAGCCUGAUGGAGCAACGCCGCGUGCAGGAUGAAGGCCUUCGGGUUGUAAACUGCUUUUAUAAGCGAGAAAUAUGAUGGUAACUUAUGAAUAAGGAUCGGCUAACUACGUGCCAGCAGCCGCGGUCAUACGUAGGAUCCGAGCAUUAUCCGGAGUGACUGGGUGUAAAGAGUUGCGUAGGUGGCAUAAUAAGUAGCUAGUGAAAUCUGUUGGCUCAACCAUUCAGACUAUUAGCUAAACUGUUAAGCUCGAGACCGUUAGGGGUAACUGGAAUUUCUAGUGUAGGAGUGAAAUCCGUAGAUAUUAGAAGGAACACCAAUAGCGUAGGCAGGUUGCUGGGACGGUUCUGACACUAAGGCACGAAAGCGUAGGGAGCAAACGGGAUUAGAUACCCCAGUAGUC
rnacentral:rRNA from 1 species